GGAAUCCAAAACAAAGUUAAUCUGAUCAACGGGGAUCAAUAGAAAAGUGAAUUUGCCAGUCUUGACACUAUGCAUUUGUUUGAAGAUUCUAGAAGAUAUAGACAGAAUCACAGAACUGUAGGGGCUGGAAGGAACCUCUAGAGAUCGACAAGUCCAGCCCCUCUGCCAAAGCACUCUUGCUAGACCAGGUUGCACAGCUUCCCUCUAGCUUGGAGAAGCACACAGGCUGGAUGGGGGCUUCUCAGAAUCACAGAAUUGUAGGGGUUGGAUGGGACCUCUGGAGAUUACCGAGUCUAACACUUUGCUAAAGCAGGUUCCCUACAGCAGGUCACACAGGAAAGUGUCUGGGUGGACUUUGGAUAUCUCCAGAGAAGGAGACUAC
ensembl:lncRNA